UCUUGUUUUGUUGACGACAUUCUAAAUAAAAUAAUAUGUACGCUCAACACGCUGCACCUUGGUCCGGUCGUUUCCACCUAGAUGACGGCCGUGACAGGUGCAUUGUUUCAUGUCAGGUAGUUAGCUCAAACAUUAGGUUUCCCACCCAGUUUGGCUAGCUAGACCAGCUAGCUAGCUAUAUAUUUUACUAAGCUAGGCAUAUUCCCUGUCUCUGAGUUAAUGUAACAUGGUUGUAACUAGUUGGCAAGCUUAUAACUCAUGCUUUUAGUGACUAUUUUUUUUUGCCUAAUUGUUUAUAUUAGUUAGCUAGCUAGCUGGCUACGUAGUCUCAAUCUGGAUGCAGACASAGUUACUUUAGGUAGCUAUAGCUWGCUACAUAUUAAAAUGAAAGGAGUGUUUCAAUUGUUCACACAUGUUUAGGCUAUCCAUUUUGACUYUCCACUUAAUGGGUUAGCURACAUUGUCUUUGUCUCCCAGAUACUAAAGACRACAUAGCCCUGAGAGUGCUUCUCCAACCACCAGUGUACUGAGUGCAGGCUGGAACCAAUAUGGCUGAAUAUCUCYGCCAAGUGACCCAAAAAACAAGAUACCAAACCCUUCGUCCUGACUCUGGGGACAAUCGCCUGGCUUUCAUCAUCAUUGUUUAUCUUUUGCAUGACUUCAUUUUAUAGCUAAAAUGUAUUUCUUAAAAUAAACAUUUUGUAUUUUA